GAUGAACGCUAGCUACAGGCUUAACACAUGCAAGUCGAGGGACCGAAGCACGGGUGAGUCACACGUAUCCAACCUGCCCUUUACUCGGGGAUCGCCUUUCGAAAGAAAGAUUAAUCCCCUCUUUAAAGGAUGGGGAUGCGUUACAUUAGGUUGUUGGUGAGGUAACGGCUCAACAAGCCUUCGAUGGAUAGUGGUUCUGAGAGGAAGGUCCCCCAGAUUGGAACUGAGGCACGGUCCAAACUGCGACGGGGGGCAGCAGUGAGGAAUAUUGGGCAAUGUGCGCUAGCCUGAACCAGCCAAGUAGCGUGAAGGAGGAAGGCUUAUGGGGCGGAAACUUCUUUUAUAGAAGAAUAUGUAUUAGAUGAAUAAGCAUCGGCUAACUCCGUGCCAGCAGCCGCGGUAAUUC
rnacentral:rRNA from 1 species